ACCUACGGGAGGCAGCAGUGGGGAAUAUUGCACAAUGGGGAAAACCUGAUGCAGCGACGCCGCGUGAGUGAAGAAGUAUUUCGGCACGUAAAGCUCUAUCAGCAGGGAAGAAAAUGACGGUACCUGACUAAGAAGCCCCGGCUAACUACGUGCCAGCAGCCGCGGUAAUACGUAGGGGGCAAGCGUUAUCCGGAUUUACUGGGUGUAAAGGGAGCGUAGACGGCAGCGCAAGUCUGGAGUGAAAUCCCAUGGCUUAACCAUGGAACUGCUUUGGAAACUGUGCAGCUAGAGUGCAGGAGAGGUAA
rnacentral:rRNA from 1 species